CUUACGGCCAUAACAAGUUAAAAAAACCGGUUCUAGUCCGAUCACCGAAUAUAAACAAGAUCGGGUCUGAUCAAUACCUAGAUGGGUGAUCACUUGGGAAUACAAGGUACUGUA